GCCGACUCCGGAACCUGCCUGCGGCCGGAAACGGCGGGCAGCGGUGAUGCGCAGGAGAGGAUGCUUCCGAGGGACGCGCUGCGGUUGGCGCGGUACCCAGAGUGCGCAGGAUGCUCGGGGGAGCAGAACGCUGAGCUUUCCAGAGAGAGGAAGACCCAAGCUGCUGCUGUGGCCUUUUAUUUUGAAUGUAGGAGUCGUGGUGUCUGCACUGGGGCUUCCUUCCCCCAAGAAUGGCCAUAGAAAAGAUGUGAUCAGAAGUCAGAGCCAUCUCUAGUUCUAAAUGGAACCAAUGUCUGCACAGAAGAAAGAAACUAGACAGAACACCACAGGCUUGAGGAGCUGCCAGGCUCAAGCAGGCCAAAGCCUGCCCAGGAAGUGUCUCUCCAGUCUCUGCCCUCCAGGAACAGAGGCUGCUGCCAGGGAGCUCAGCGGCUUUCAGUCACAGACACACAUGUUUGGCAGCACCCAAAGGACUGCUAUCAAACCAGCACCAAGACGUUCCAAGUCCAGAACAACUGGGAGGAGGAAGCAGCUAUUUUCAGAGAAGUCCCCUCCAAGCCUCUACCCCAAGCCAAAGAGGAUCUCAGGCACCCAAGAACUGAAGCCCUGGCAACAGGCAUGCAGCAGGCUGAACCUGGCUGGUGGGUUCUAGUUCCAGCUGAAGGAAUGGUGCCUACAUUCAGGGACAGAGAUGGUCAUGCUCAGAGAACUGGAGCCUGCCUAGGCACACAGCUCAGGCACUGUGCCCUCUGCCUUCAGGAGCAAAGGUCAGUGGGUGAAGUGCCACUUCAGAAGCCUUGGUCUUCCUCCUACUGGGCCAACUGCAGGACAGUCGGCAGAGCCAGACUGUCCUCCAGAUCUCAAGAAAGCAUGAGGAUCCCCUGCACCAAGUCCCAGAAGUGCAGCCCCCUUUUCCUCUCCCCAGAGACACCAGUAAACAAACAGAAAACAUCUGAGUAGAGGGGAUAGAAACAAAAAACACGUGACAUCUGGCAAACUGAACAGAGACCAGAGUUUGGCUACUAAGUCACAAUCUUGCAUCAUCAUGAUUUAUUAGACAGGAAUCAGCUUUUCAACACAAGUCAUGCUCACCAUGCUCCGCCCCACAGGAAGGCUUUGGGAGUCAGGGUAGAAAGGGAUGGGUUGCCCAAGGAGGCCCCAACCUAAGCUCUGAGCAACCGGCAAGCCUAGUGCCCAGGAAUCUGAGUUACAAUGUAUUCUACUGCCACUGCCCAAAUGACCCCUGCAAGGGGAGGAAGACCAAAUAAAUAGUCAAUAAAUAA